rnacentral:rRNA from 1 species
CUUUAUUGGAGAGUUUGAUCCUGGCUCAGGAUGAACGCUGGCGGCGUGCCUAAUACAUGCAAGUCGAGCGAAUGGAUUAAGAGCUUGCUCUUAUGAAGUUAGCGGCGGACGGGUGAGUAACACGUGGGUAACCUGCC